rnacentral:rRNA from 1 species
GGAUUAGAUACCCUGGUAGUCCACGCCCUAAACGAUGAGAACUAGCCGUUGGGGGUAUUUGAAACCUUUAGUGGCGAAGCUAACGCGAUAAGUUCUCCGCCUGGGGAGUACGACCGCAAGGUUAAAACUCAAAGGAAUUGACGGGGGCCCGCACAAGCGGUGGAGCAUGUGGUUUAAUUCGAUGCAACGCGAAGAACCUUACCUGCCCUUGACAUCCUCGGAAUCCUCUAGAGAUAGAGGAGUGCCUUCGGGAACCGAGUGACAGGUGCUGCAUGGCUGUCGUCAGCUCGUGCCG